rnacentral:rRNA from 1 species
GCUUACACAUGCAAGUCGAACGGGGAAAGAGAGGUUCGCCUUUCUUUCUUAGUGGCGCACGGGUGAGUAAUGUAUAGCUAACCUGCCCCUUGGAGGGGAACAACAGUUGGAAACGACUGCUAAUACCCCAUACUCCUUCUUACUCUAAGGUAAGUCGGGAAAACUCCGGUGCCAAGGGAUGGGGCUGUAUCCUAUCAGCUUGUUGGUGAGGUAAUGGCUCACCAAGGCAAUGACGGGUAGCUGGUCUGAGAGGAUGAUCAGCCACACUGGAACUGAGACACGGUCCAGACUCCUACGGGAGGCAGCAGUGGGGAAUAUUGCACAAUGGGGGAAACCCUGAUGCAGCAACGCCGCGUGGAGGAUGACGCAUUUCGGUGUGUAACUCCUUUUAUAAGGGAAGAUAAUGACGGUACCUUAUGAAUAAGCACCGGCUAACUCCGUGCCAGCAGCCGCGGUAAUACGGAGGGCGCAAGCGUUACUCGGAAUCACUGGGCGUAAAGGGUGCGUAGGCGGGUUAUCAAGUCUCGAGUGUAAUCCAACGGCUUAACCGUUGAACUGCUUGGGAAACUGGUAGCCUAGAGUGAGGGAGAGGCAGAUCGAAUUGGUGGUGUAGGGGUAAAAUCCGUAAAGAUCACC